rnacentral:rRNA from 1 species
GGGUCAGUAGGUUGGUCGUGCCACCGGUACGUACUGGUCUCACUGAUUCCUCCUUCCUGAAGAACCGUAAUGCCAUUUAUUUGGUGUUGCGGGGAAACAGGACUGUUACUUUGAAAAAAUUAGAGUGUUUAAAGCAAGCUAACGCUUGAAUACAUUAGCAUGGAAUAAUGAAAUAGGACGAUCGAUCCUAUUUUGUUGGUUUCUAGGAUUGACGUA